AUCAACCCUCAAGCCUGGCUUGCCGUUGGGUCUCAUCGUUGAAACAUCCGGUGGAUCCAAAAGAUAUUGGCAGAGUCCGUGGGGACCCUAGAUGCAGCGAGCUCUUUAGCACGCGUCUGGACGGUCUCCCGGCUCGGUCUACCAAAAU
rnacentral:misc_RNA from 1 species